rnacentral:rRNA from 1 species
AUUGAACGCUGGCGGCAGGCCUAACACAUGCAAGUCGAGCGGAGCGGCGGACGGGUGAGUAAUGCCUAGGAAUUUACCUGUUAGUGAGGGAUCAAUCACAGAAACGGGAGCUUAUGCCACAUACUAUCAGAUACCCCUAGGGUGGAGUUGCUUGUUGGUGGGGUAAAGGCUUACCUAGGCGACGAUCCGUCACUGGGCCGAGAGGAUGAUCAGUCACACUGGAACUGAGACACGGUCCAGACUCCUACGGGAGGCAGCAGUGGGGAAUAUUGGGCAAUGGUCGAAAGCCUGAUCCAGCAAUGCCGCGUGUGUGAAGAAGGUCUUCGGAUUGUAAAACACUUUAAGUAGUGAAGCGUUAUCAACAGAGUAAGCACCGGCUAACUUCGUGCCAGCAGCCGCGGUAAUUC